AUAUUAAACAUAAAGCACACGCAAGGCACAAAUCGCUUUGGGAAUUCUACAGCCAAGGUCCAAUAGGAAAGCAUUCAUAUGUGUGGUCCAUCUGUUAGUUAAAGGGAGGGAGUUCAUUAGCAGCCAAUGCAUAUAUAAAGGUGGACAGAACCGCGCCCAUCAGUUUGUGGUGUUUAGUGGUUCUGUGUCCCUACUAGCCCAGAGAGUGAUGACUAAAUUAAAGAACUAUAACAGUUUUGUUUAAAACAUAGUCAUCAAACCUCUCUCUCAGAAAAAAGAUUUGAGCACCACGAACUCGGCUACAUCCUGAAUUCAUAAUGGAGCGAAAAUUACGGAGCAAG